rnacentral:tRNA from 2 species
GCGGACAUGGCGAAAUGGCAGACGCGCUAGCUUCAGGUGCUAGUAAUCGAAAGGUUGUGCAGGUUCAAGUCCUGUUGUCCGCACCA